rnacentral:lncRNA from 1 species
CCUUGCCUUUCUUAUUAUCUCUCUAUCUCUACUACUUAGAACAUUGCCUUUCAUAUAGUAGGCCCUAAGUAUAUAAUUUGUAUGUGGUUGGAAGGAUAAAUAAGGAAAGUAUGUCUAAUGCAUGAUUUGUAGAAAUAUGAUAUGCUAAAUGUAUUGUGAAUCACCUAGAAGGAAUACGAGUAAUUUACCCAAAUAUAUUUCACCACAGAACUACUUUUUCUUCAAGCAUUUAGCUGUAUUAGACUUCCACAGGAGACAUUUUGGAAAUGUAGUAGGGUCUAUUGAUACAUUUAAGUUUUUCUUUUUAUUUUGUAAUAAUUUCAAAAUGUGUACCCAAGUUAUAAGAAUAGUUUUUCUAAGAUAAUUUUUCCUGAAUCAUUUGAGAGUAAGUUGCUGACAUUAUAUUCCAUCACCUCUGAAUACUUUAGAGUGUAUUUCCUACAAACAAAGACAUUCUUCCACAUAGCUAGGAUAGAAUAAUCACAAUCAGGAAUUCAACGUUGGUAGGUUACUACCAUCUAACCCACAACCCUGUUCAAGUCAUGACAGUUGUUCUGGAAUUCAUUGGUGAAAAUCCCCAGAAAGGAGAGAGGCACAGAGUAGGGAGCCUCAAAAUCUGCGUAGGUAUUCCUUUCAAUUCUUUGGCUGACCCCUGAGUUCACAUGUGUUGAGGAGACUUCACAGAGCCUAGUGGAAAGUAACAGGUGACAUGCGAAGUUGUUGAGGUAAUAUUGUUGAUCAAAUUUGAAGGUUGAGUCCUACCAAACACGUUAGGAUUCUGUUGAAAUCUCAGAAGAGAUCUGUCUGAGAAGUAGACUAUUCAAGGCCUAAGGGAUUUGUUCUAGGACUGAGGGCAAAACUGAAACAUAUCCUUCCUAACAAACUGUAAAACCAAGCAUCUGGAGGUUCAAGAUGAUCAGCCAGUAUUUAACUGCCUAGUAGAAGAAAAAUCAACGCACUUCAAAGGAAGAUAACAACAGACAGAGUUUCUAUAGCAUAUCAUCCAUUUUGUCCAGUGUAUAAUAAAAAAAUAUUGAUCAUGUGAAGAAAUAGGAAAAUAUUACCCUUAGUUAAGAGAAAAAGGAACCAAUCCAGAUGUUAGAGUCAGGAGACAAUAACUUUAAAUUAGCUAUAAUAAAUAUGGGCAAAAAAGUGAAGAAAGAGGGGACAUAAUAAAUAUAGACCAUCUUUGCAAAGAGAUGUAGAAACUAUUUUUCUUUUUUUUGAGGAAGAUUGGCCCUGAGCUAACAUCUAUGCCCAUCUUCCUCUACUUUAUAUGUGGGAUGCCUGCCACAUAAUGGCUUGAUAAGCAGUGCAUAUGUCCACACCCGGCAUCCAAACUGGCAAACCCCAGGCCACCGAAGCAGAGCCCAGAAACUUAACUGCCACUUCACCAGGCCAGCCCCAGUAGGAACUAUUUUCUUUUUUAAAUAGGAAUUGUAAAACUGGAAAUAUAAUACCUGAAGUGAAAAAUUUACUGGAUCGACCUAACAAGAGAUGACAGAUGGCAGAAGAAAGGGCCAGUAAACUUGAUGACAGAUCAACAGAAAUUAUCCUACUUGAAGAACAAAGAGGAAAAAGAUUUUAAAAAAGAAUAACGGAACCUCAGUGACCAGUGAAGUUACAAGCAGUCAAACUUAUGUAUAUUGAAAUCCCAGAAGGAAAAGAGAGAAAAUGGGACAGAAAAAAUCUUUUUAAGAAAUAAUGGCUAAAAACUUAUCAAAUUUAGCAAAAAACUAACUUAGAGAGCC